UGGGGAAUAUUGCACAAUGGGAGCAAGCCUGAUGCAGCCAUGCCGCGUGUAUGAAGAAGGCCUUCGGGUUGUAAAGUACUUUCAGCGAGGAGGAAGGCGUUGUGGUUAAUAACCGCAGCGAUUGACGUUACUCGCAGAAGAAGCACCGGCUAACUCCGUGCCAGCAGCCGCGGUAAUACGGAGGGUGCAAGCGUUAAUCGGAAUUACUGGGCGUAAAGCGCACGCAGGCGGUCUGUCAAGUCGGAUGUGAAAUCCCCGGGCUCAACCUGGGAACUGCAUCCGAAACUGGCAGGCUAGAGUCUUGUAGAGGGGGGUAGAAUUCCAGGUGUAGCGGUGAAAUGCGUAGAGAUCUGGAGGAAUACCGGUGGCGAAGGCGGCCCCCUGGACAAAGACUGACGCUCAGGUGCGAAAGCGUGGGGAGCAAACA
rnacentral:rRNA from 1 species